AGUUUGAUCCUGGCUCAGGAUGAACGCUAGCGGCAGGCUUUAACACAUGCAAGUCGAAGGGUAUAGUAGCAAUACUAGAGGCCGGCGCACGGGUGCGUGACGCGUAUGCAAUCUACCUUUUACAGAGGGAUAGCCCAGAGAAAUUUGGAUUAAUACCUCAUAGUAUAGCGACCUGGCAUCAGGAUUCUAUUAAAGUCACAACGGUAAAAGAUGAGCAUGCGUCCCAUUAGCUAGUUGGUAAGGUAACGGCUUACCAAGGCGACGAUGGGUAGGGGUCCUGAGAGGGAGAUCCCCCACACUGGUACUGAGACACGGACCAGACUCCUACGGGAGGCAGCAGUGAGGAAUAUUGGACAAUGGGCGCAAGCCUGAUCCAGCCAUGCCGCGUGCAGGAUGACGGUCCUAUGGAUUGUAAACUGCUUUUGUACAGGAAGAAACCCUUUCACGUGUGAGAGAUUGACGGUACUGUAAGAAUAAGGAUCGGCUAACUCCGUGCCAGCAGCCGCGGUAAUACGGAGGAUCCAAGCGUUAUCCGGAAUCAUUGGGUUUAAAGGGUCCGUAGGCGGCCAGAUAAGUCAGUGGUGAAAGCCCAUCGCUCAACGGUGGAACGGCCAUUGAUACUGUCUGGCUUGAAUUACAAGGAAGUAACUAGAAUAUGU
rnacentral:rRNA from 1 species